CCGGCACGGGUGAGUAACACGUAUCCAACCUGCCGUCUACUCUUGGACAGCCUUCUGAAAGGAAGAUUAAUACAAGAUGGCAUCAUGAGUUCACAUGUUCACAUGAUUAAAGGUAUUCCGGUAGACGAUGGGGAUGCGUUCCAUUAGAUAGUAGGCGGGGUAACGGCCACCUAGUCUUCGAUGGAUAGGGGUUCUGAGAGGAAGGUCCCCCACAUUGGAACUGAGACACGGUCCAA
rnacentral:rRNA from 1 species